rnacentral:rRNA from 1 species
AUUGAACGCUGGCGGCAGGCCUAACACAUGCAAGUCGAGCGAGCGGCGGACGGGUGAGUAAUGUCUGGGAAACUGCCUGAUGGAGGGGGAUAACUACUGGAAACGGUAGCUAAUACCGCAUACCAUCGGAUGUGCCCAGAUGGGAUUAGCUUGUUGGUGGGGUAACGGCUCACCAAGGCGACGAUCCCUAGCUGGUCUGAGAGGAUGACCAGCCACACGGGAACUGAGACACGGUCCAGACUCCUACGGGAGGCAGCAGUGGGGAAUAUUGCACAAUGGGCGCAAGCCUGAUGCAGCCAUGCCGCGUGUAUGAAGAAGGCCUUCGGGUUGUAAAGCCCUUUUGUUGGGAAAGCGGUACCCAAAGAAUAAGCACCGGCUAACUUCGUGCCAGCCGCCGCGGUAAUUC